rnacentral:tRNA from 1 species
GCCGAAGUGGUGGAACUGGUAGACACGCAUGCUUCAGGUGCAUGUGGGAGCAAUCUUGUGCGGGUUCGAGUCCCGCCUUCGGCACAA